AUGAUUCUGGAGGACAGUGUGUUCACUUGGCUAGAAAGUAUUGAAAGGAUAAGACAUAAUAAGAGUUCUGAGGCAGACAUCACUGAAUCAGCUGACGUAGCACAAGACCAGCCGUAUUUAGGGAUAACGUUGUUUGAUAUGUCCCUCAUCUCACCAGCAGUGUCACCCUUAUCGUUGGAUUCACUGUCAUGUGAUUUUGAAGAACAAAUGCACCCUGAAAGUGAACACAGCUCUGAAGUGCAGCAAAUCACAGAGAGUCUGGAGAUGGAUGUGAUGGAGAAUCUUGAACUGCUGGCUGCUUCAGAGGAGUAUCUACAGAGCCAUCAUAAUGAUCAAAUGAACGUGGCUAGCAGUGUUUGGAACAUUCAAAGUGAGGAGAAUCGGAGCCAUUUUCAAGGUAGCCUGACAUUUCUUAACACCUCACCUGAAGGGUAUGUCAUAGAUAACCCAACAGAGGCAGACUGUGCUGGUGGAGUCAUCCCUAAAGGACUGGAACCUGAGCCCCUGAUUGAUACAGAGUAUGACUUGAUCAGUUACUCUGCCUGCAGUCUAGCACCCUGUGAAUAUGCUGCUAGAGAAAAAGAACAGACAAAGGACUGCUAUCUAAGUCAGCUUGAUAUUAGCACAUCAUUAAACGAGCAGAACGACACCUGGGGUACGUCUAAAACAGCCUUAAAAGGCUUUGAACAGAGGGACUUUACAAACCACACCCUUGAUAGUCAAGCUUUACAAAAACCUGCGCAUGCUUCGUCAAAUCAGACCUCUUCUAUACACAGGAACCAGCAGCAUCCCACUCACGAAGAUCAUACCCAAAUCAUAACCACAGACCCAUAUUAUGAUCUAUCAGGUGCAGAAAAGAACAGAAGCAUUGAGACAGGACCCUCACUGAAUCCAAAUUCUGUCUACACUAGUCCUCCAAACCCACUUUCCUCAUCCACAUCACACUGCUACAGCUUUGAAGAUCAAAGACAAGAUAACAGCACUUACAGAGGAGACUUCUGCUCAUAUUCAGUUGACGAAUCUGAUGUGAGUAUUCCCAGUUUUGAGGGUGUGGCUCAAUCAUUUCCUGCCCCUGUGAAUAAACCACACCCAUAUUCAAUUUCUACUCCUCUUUUGAAUGAUGAUUGGCUUUUCAGCAACAUAGUAGCUGAGCAGGAUUUCAACAGUAUGGUCAGAUCACAAGGAUGUGCUCACUGUUGA
rnacentral:lncRNA from 1 species